rnacentral:rRNA from 1 species
CGUGCCAGCAGCCGCGGUAAUACGUAGGGUGCAAGCGUUAAUCGGAAUUACUGGGCGUAAAGCGUGCGCAGGCGGACUUUUAAGCCAGAUGUGAAAGCCCCGAGCUUAACUUGGGAAUUGCGUUUGGAACUGGGAGUCUAGAGUCUGUCAGAGGGGAUGGAAUUCCACGUGUAGCAGUGAAAUGCGUAGAGAUGUGGAGGAACACCGAUGGCGAAGGCAGUCCCCUGGGAUAAGACUGACGCUCAUGCACGAAAGCGUGGGGAGCAAACAGGAUUAGAUACCCUGGUAGUCCACGCCCUAAACGAUGUCUACUAGUUGUUGGGGUAGUAAUACCUCAGUGACGCAGCUAACGCGUGAAGUAGACCGCCUGGGGAGUACGGUCGUCAAGAUUAAAACUCAAAGGAAUUGACGGG